CAACGAUUCAAGCCUCUCCCUUGGAUCGCCUGAUUCUUUCCGCCUGGCUCUGACCCUGUUUCUGUCUCCUGAACACUGCACAUUCACACAGGAGCCGAAAUUCAGUUUCCCGAGUUUCCCACGGAUUCUGAAAAGAGGUUCCUGUGCCUAUCACUGGUGGUUUCCGGCCGAACGCCUUCUCAGAGAUAUCAAUAAAUCUUUUGAAUUUUA